AGCAAAUGAGAGUUCUGGAAAAAUAAGGAUUUGUCUCUUUCAACAUGGAUACCUCUUUAAUUUUAAUCAUUUUAAUGGAAAUCUUUCCAAAAUACAUAGAACAUAAUUUAACUUUUUCCUGAUGCUUUGGGAUCAUCACAGUGAACAAAAGCUUUGUUGCUUUGCUGCAAUACAAUAGGGCCCUGAAGGUCUUUGGGGGAUAUAAAGAGUCCUAGAUUUUUGUGAUUCUCAAGGUAUUUUGGAAACGUUUAAAUAGACUUUCUUUCUCCCUACCUUUUUAUCAGGCCAUUACCUACCACUCCGGUUAUUAAUGAACCUAUUUUCCACCCACAUUUUCUAAUUUUCAAUGUUUACUGUGAGCAUAGAAGACACAGUAAACAUACACACACAUACACAUGUACACACACGUGUGCAUGAGAGCAUGUGCCAAGAAUUGUGAGCAAAUACCUGAGAAUUUUCUAUGAGUAAACUGAAUACAUUAUGAGUUCUUUAUUUCAGCUUUCCAGAGGCCAUUCUGGUAAAUUUUUGCUCAAGUUAGAAAUAGAAAGUUACAAAACAAAUGAGUUUAAUGUUGAAAAGUUACUCUCAGAUUUUUAGGAGCCAUAUAUUGUUUUAGAAAAUUCUUCAGUUUUAUUCGUUUCCACUUAAAACUAGUAUAGGCGAUGGUUACUAAAAGGGGAUUCCUUUUAUGAGAGGCCCUUCAUUACAUUAUCCCAACUUCACAUACAAACUAUUUCACUAUCUUUAAAAAUGUUAUCAUGAUAUUCUCAAACUAUUGUUAUUUUUGCUUUUAAACCUACAGGUGCAAAAACAAACUGCAACCACAAGAGCUAAAUCUCUCUCUCUCUCUCUCCCCUAUUGUCCUCUUUGGCAAAGUUCUGUGGAAAGCUGAAUAAAUGAGCAGGGCCAUUCGGCACAGUGUAACCCAUACCUGCCCUAUUGUGCAAUGCCUUAAACGUAAGUCCUUUUCAACUAAACAGAGGUAUAUUUUCUUUUAUAUUGUUGACUUUGACCCUGCAGCUUAGCAAAGAACACUUGUGCAACAUUUUCUGGAUCAAUUUAUCAUCCGCUCAGAGCAGACAUGCAUUUUUCCUCAUCAUUAAAGGGAAACCAAAACCAUCUACAUAAUCCCCCAUUCUGCUUUGUUUCUUUGCAGUCCUUCAUGUUGUAGAUUCUGAAAUAUUAAUGAAGGGACAUGAAAGUUAUGUGCUCCAUUCUCACUCUCAGCCCUAGUGGGAGCAAGGGCAUGGCUAGGGAGUGGGAGAAUGAGAAAUUCCUCACUUUGCAAAAACAGUGUUGCUCAAAGUCAGGUUGCUGGACUCUACCUUAGAAUCUCUCAAGGUGCUGGUCUAAAAUCCAGAUUCCUAGGUUGGCCUGUACACUUCCUGAAUCAUAUUUUGGGAGGAUAGUGCUUUGCCAUUCGCAUUUUCAACUAACGCAUUUUAAAUUAAUUGGACUAGAUAUUGUCCAAGUUUUUUCUUUAUUUACCAAAUUUUAUGCCUCUGACUCUUAAGUGAAUACUAGUAGUAGUUAAAUACCUACAGAAUACUCACAAUAAACUUUAUUGUAAGAAUAAUACCUUUCAUUUGUACAGCAGCAUUUUUAACUUUUCAAAGUGUUUUCCUAUAGAUAACCAUCUGAGGUGGGCAGGGGAGGUGUUAUCACCUCCAUUUCAGAGAUGUCAUUGAGGCCCCUGAAGCUCAAUGACUUGUGCAAACUCCGCUGUAACUUAGUGGUCAGGAGUCAGGGCUGGCACGUAAGUCUGCCAUCCUCAUUUUAUUGCACAUGUGGUCUUCUAAGAUCCAAGACACAAGAGGAAGCUUUAUUAAAGUGUCCCUUAAAAAUAGACCUGAGCUGAAAUCAGUGCCUCCCGAGCCAGUCCACAUGCUGUUGAGUGUGCUGUGCGUUGGCUCCUGAAAGAUGAAAGAAUGGACAAAGCCCUGGGUACUGGGGGACAAACAGGAAUCUUCAAAACAAAGAAAAUCUCAUUCCUUUUCUGUUCAUCCCCUUCAAUUUUCUGAUCUUUUCCCUCCACUCCCUCUUUCUUGUAAAGACUCAAACUCUGAAAUAAUUAUAUGAAAUUAAGUCGGUAAAAACCAGGCUCGUUUCCUUAAGAUUGAUGUGUUAACAUUUGGGGCAGUUUUCUCAGGACUCGGGGAGACUAUUAUUUCUGAGCUUGGCUGCAGGAAUCUUCCUCUUCCCCAGGCAGAGGAGUGUCUCCUCCCCCAGAACUCCCCAGAAACCAUGUGUCUUUAUUUCCAUGACACCUCCCCCCAUGACACAGCCUAACUAUGAGCAGAAGUUCAUAAAAAAUUUUUUUUAAGUGCUGGAGACUUUUCUUCUUUUAUUUCUGAUCAUAACUACCCACUGUCUGGGGAAAAAAAAAAAAAGGAAACACAGCAGGCUCUAAACUUCUAAACUCUGUGAGACUGCAUGCAAUGAGUGUCUAGAGGUCUGAGGAAGGUGCGGGAAACUUUCCAGCUCCACCUGCCUGUUCUUAUCUGUGUAUCAAGAGAAGCAGGCUGGUUGGUUGUCAGCAAAAAGGCAUCUUUUCAUGCAAAUUAUAUUGCUCCUUAAAAAGAAAUUAUAAUAAAGAUGAAGGUGUGAUCUUGCCUGCCACUUUCCCACUGUAUGGAAUAAAAUGAAUGAGAGAGAGAAAGAUAACUGGGAUUCUCUGUAUUAUAGGGAAAUGGCCUGGGUGUGCAGUGUUGAAGCCAUGCUGAAUUUCCCGUGUUCCUGCGGCAGCCUCUGAGGAGACCAGCAGGGUCAGAUUCAAGAGAUUGUUCAAGCUUCCUACACUUUCAGUUAAAUAAAAAAGAGGGUCCUGACUUUCUAUGCUUUUCAUAAAAUCUAUGCUGAAAAGAUAGAUGUUCAGAAGUUGACUGUGUUGGACUUUGGAGCACCCAAGAAUUGGCAAAUCCAGACUGGGAACUGUUUCUUUGCCCAGCCACCUGCAAAUAGACUUGAGAACAAUGUAAACCACCCUCUGCAGGAUAUUGAUUCUGGUGGAGCAAAUGUCGAUUAAGCAGAAUGGUGGCUUUUUUUAACUGGAGGAAUUCCAGAUCUUUCCUCGGGCCUGUCUCUCCGGGGAAAUGAGCUCUAUCCUCAAAAAUCUACAGAAAACCUGAGUAAGAAUGAAGAUUUAUGAUGGGAGACGCUGGGCCGGAAGACGGCUGGCUAUCUGGUGGGCUAUCUAGAAGCUCAUCUUUGUGUUAUUAGAGAAACACUCCCUCUCUUGACAGGAUAUGGUCUGCUUAUCACAUAAUCUGCUCAAGUUUCAUUCCCAUUCUGCUUACAAAUGCCCCAAAUAUAAAGAGAUGCAUUUCAUUAAGACAGCCUUUUAAGAGGCAGUUUAUCCCAGCUGUUGCAGUCUAUCUUAAACACCUACCUUUUCACCCUAGUGUGGAGUUUACAUGUUGAUAAGGGAUGUAAAAAAGGGAACUUUAGAAAUCUCAGCAAAGGAAAAACACUGAGGCUGCCUCUGGGAAUUGGAGGAACAGUAAAGAGCCCAGGAAGAUUUAAGUUCCAGAACAGUCCCCCUUCUCAGAGAGGAGCCCUGCGAUAAUGCUUGCCUGCCUCGGGCCUUUGGGCUGACCCCAAACACCAGAGACUGUAAACACUUUUCCAGUCAUAUAAAUGAGGGAAUUCUUUGCCUGCUACUUUGGCAUUUUCUUGUCAAGAGCCGGUAGCAAAAUAGAAGUGAAAAAUGCAGAUAGGAACAGGAGAACCAGACCUGGAAGGUUUCAGCUCACCUGGGGCCUGUCUUUCCUGGCAUUGCCCAUCCUCAUCAGUGACGAAUUCUCGAAACCUGACUUCACCACACACACGUAGACCUGUGAUGUGUUCCCAGGUGGCCGAGUGGGAUUUGCUGGCGAAUGACCUGCGUGAGCUUUCUCUCUCUCACUCCUGGGUCUGCAAGCCCAGAGAGCCAGAGGCUCUUGGUGACUGAUGAGACAAGUCUGAAAGAUUUUCAUGGGGGGUGGGAGCAGGCGAGAGGGGGGAAGUAUUCUUAAUACUCAAUUAAUUAUUCUUAAUACUUAGAAUUAGGUAUAAAUUGCAGAAAACAGGAGGGGUGGUCCCAGAGUCCUGCCAGGGUCCUGGUGCAGACUAUUUUAGCUGGUAGGGGUGGAAGUGGGGAGGUACCCCCUUUGUUGGAGAAGAAACAAACCUGGGACUGUGACCCCAGUGGGCUUGCUCCUGAAGGAAGGCUGGUGUGUUUGAAGUCAGGACUGGCGUGCUCAGGAAGCUGGCUGCAUCAGGUUCCCAUUAGCCCAGACAGCCGAUAGUGGGUUCACACCCAACAUGGUAACAAUUAAGCCUUCUGCUACUGGUCCUUACCCUGGGGUGAGGCUCUUUUCUUCCUUACCAAUGUGACUUAAAGUCACCCUGGUUUCCUUGUGGCUCGAUUUCUUGCAGAUUCCCCUUGCUUCAUGUUUAAUCUUCUGAGACCACUCAUUAGACCACACAAAUUGCAACAAUCGUCUCCAGCACCCAGACACUGUUCCAGACUCUCAGUGUGCUCAGGAGAAAGACUGUAUCUCUCUGAAACAUGAGUUGCUUCCUGUGUAAAUAGUUGGCUUACCAAAAAUCAGAGUUAUAAAUAUUGGCGAAAAUAAACUAAUCAUACAUCCAUACCCUGAGGCAUGAAAAAUUAUUUUCUUCCUUUUUUUAAAGAAUGGUUUAGAACAAUUAUCUCCAUUUUCAGUGACGAGAGAGAUAAUACAUGCACAAAUGCUGUAACACGAAACAGAAAAAUAAAAAGAUAUCAUUAAAAUGCUAUGGCUUUUCCAAGGACGAAAAAUGCUUCUCUAUAAAGAUGCCAUUUAAGAUGACCCUUGAAAAACAGGUAGAAUUUGGAUACAUGGAAGUUGGUGGAAAGAAGAAAAGGGCACAUUAGGAUAGAGAACAAAAGCAAAAAAAGAAAAAAAAAUUGGACAUUUUCUAAGGGUUUACAGUGGCUUAAGCACCAAUAGAUGCUAUGGAAAGUAAUAAAGUAUACAGACGCUUCUCCUCUUACAAGGCGGUUAUGUCCUUAUAAACCCAUCAUAAGCUGAAAAAUAUCGUAAGUUGAAAAUGCAUUUAAUACAAUCUACCGAACAUCAUAGCUUAGCCCAGACUCAAACUAGAACACUUAGAUCAGCCUACAGUUAGGCAAAAUCAUCUGGCAACACAGAACACUGCAGAGUGUCAGUUGCUUGCCCUUGUGAUAGUGUGGCUAGAGCUUGUUAAAACCCGUUUCCCUGAGCUCCACACCGGAGUGUCUGAUUUUAUACUCUGGUUUCACUUCAGAUCGAAUAAAUCUUCUGCCUUUUACGAAAGAUUUCCACGGAGAGGAACAACUCUUGAGUUUUUGGUCAAUGUUUUGAGGUUUUGCUUCGGCAGGGCUAAUUGUAAAAGAAAAAAAAAAUUAAAAAAUAAACAAAAACAGAGUUUCUGAUUUAGUAGGUCUGGUGUGGGAGGUGAUGAGUUGUGCUGGGACAAGCUCCCCUGACGAUGCUGGUGCCCCCGGCCUAGGAACCCACACUUUGCCGCUGUGGAAAGGUCAGCGUGCCCAGCGUGCAGGUGUCUGCUUGGGGGAAGUAGCGGGAAACCAAACUGUACAGGGAAGGCCACCAGAGAAAUAUUAAAAACCAGUUUGUUAUUAAUUCUCUUCGUUUUCCUUACUGUUGAUUCUCCAUCUGAACAGAACCGUAAACACCCUUGUUUUUUUCUAUUCCCAAUGGCUUCUUGGUUUAGAAUGAAUUCUUGUGAAAGAAGAAAAUAAUGUUUUUAUUCCUCUGGAAGAAACUACUAUGGUUAAAACUGGGCAUCAUUUCAAAAGACAGGUUUCAUCAAUCUCUUCUGCAACAUGCAUAUUUCUCAAAUAGCUUUGCCUCUGCCAGGAAGUGUGGUCUGUUACCCCAACCUUUUUGCCACCAGGGACCUGUUUCACAGAAGACAAUUUUUCUACAGAGUGUGGGAGCAGGAGGGAGGCAGAGCUCAGGUGGUGAUGUGAGGGAUGGGGAUAGGCUAUAAAGCUUUGCUGGCCUGCCACCGCUCACCUCCUGCUGUGAGUGCCCCCUUCCUAAGUUUCAUGGGACAAAUUUUCCAUGGAUGGGGGAGGGGCGGCAGAGCUCUGUAGCUCAGUCCCUAACAGGCCACCGGUACUGGUCCACAGCUUGGGGGGUGGGGACCGCAGUGUUAUGGGAUUGGUGUUAUGGAGCUUUACACAUUGGCUGGACACUGUCACAGUCAACCCCCCUGAGAACCCAAGUAUUAAAAACAUUGACCAAAGGUACAUUGUAAAAUGAUGAAUUUGUUGGUUGCUUUUCCAAGAUAUUCACAUCAUUUAUUGCCUUAAAUGUUAUGUAAAUAGAAGUUAUAAUCCUUAUUUCAUAAUCUUUUUGCAUAAUCCUUAUUCCAUAAUCUUUUUGCAUAUUCCUUGUUCCAUAAUCUUUUUGCUUUUGCAUAUUUACAUCAAAGCUUCUCACCAUUGUUUCUCCCCAUUUUUGCAGAAAAAAAAGAAGUAAUCCAGAUUAAUGGGGAAAAAGACUUCCAAAUUUGAAACUGUUUUUAAAAUGUCUUUAUUCUGUCUAAAAUGAAACAAUUUCAUAAUCUUCUUUCUGCUAUAUAGGGUUACUUAUGAGUUUCUCUCAGAGUUUAUUAGCUUGAUUGAGGUGGAAAUGUUUUCCUGUAUACUUUACUUAGUAGAUGGCCUCUGACAUAUGUUUGAAGAUCAAGUUAUAGUAUACUAUAGUCUGUAGACAGAAAUGUGCAGUGCACAUUCCAAAAUUUCCUUCAGUCUUUUGAUUAUUGAAGAUAAGAGUUGUGUAGUAUGCAAAUGACAAUAAUUAGAGAACAUCACAAUACACACAGUUAAUAGCAUGAUUCAUAUUUAUGAAGUACUAAUUUUGUGUGAAUACCAAAAAUAUAUACUGAUUAUACUGUUCAAAUUUUGAAUUGAGCAAAUAAACAAAAUAGCUAGGAAGAGAAUUGAUUUUAUAACAGUGAGCCAAAUUUAUUAUUUAUUAUCUUUUCUCAUGAUUUAAUAUAUGAAGGAUAAAUGAGGUAUUUUUAAGGUAUUUCUUUAUGUAGAAAGAAAUGAAAUACUGUACUUUCAUGUAUUAAGGGCUAAAGGUACUCAUUUCUUCCUGAAAACUUAGAAAGGUACUUUUGUUGCACAUGUAAGAUAGAGGCAGGAAAACAUUGCAUGUGUGGAGAGCUGAACAGAACCUUCGAGGGGCUGGCUUGGUCAUGGGUGCCUGCCUGGGAACCUACAGCAACUUAAUGACAGGGUAAGACCAGAAUCCUGGAUUUGUCAGAAUUCCUGACUCCUUUACUGGGAUUCUUUCCAGACUAUAUUAAGGAGCAACUUGUUCUUGGAGGAGAAAAUUCUUUUUUUUUUUUUGUAAAUUUACCUUAGAUUUAUAACCUACUGGCAUUUAUUAUCUCCUCCCCUACAACUUUAGGCAUCUUAGUAAAAACAAUAUCUUGAGUGAAAAUGAAUUGAAUACAAGAAAGAAAAUUUGAUUUUUCCUCUAACCCAACAUCAAAGAUGAUUUUUAAGGUUUUAUUUCUUCUUUGGCCAGAUGUAUUUUUCUGUGAAGCAAAUUUAUUAAACUGAGAUCAUGUUUCCAUUCACUUUUGACAUGUGGUGCGUAUUUUCAUUUGUGUGUUACUUUUAGCACAUUUUGCACAUUAUGUUUGAUAGGAGCAGACAUGGGUUGUCCAGCAUAAUACAUACAUAAAGUUGUCAGUGCAGUGCGUCGUGUGUCUCUUUGAAGAAAGGACACCAGAUUUUAAAUAAAUAUAUCAGUUAAUUCAUUAAAUGCUUGUUCUCCCUUUUUGUACUCACCCUAGGGGAAUCUAUUCCUAUUUUACAUUUUAUUACUCAAAACUAUUUUGGAACCCCUACAGUAUUUGUCCUUCAAGGUAGUUGGAGUCCCCCAAGAAAUUUGGUCUCAUUAUUUUCUUGUCGUUUUGUUUCUGACCAGAAGUAUGUUGCUCAGUGUGGUCAACGAACUCAGUUGCUUAAUGACUUGGUUGUCUCCAAAAAUCAGAUCCACGCAGACAGAAUGAUGACAAGGCAUGACUGAGGGGAUGUGAAAGAAAGUGCCAAGAGAAGAUAAAAAAUAUUGUGGAUAAUGGCAGCAUCCCUGGAGUAACUGUGGCCUCCCAAGCAGACUGUGUUGAUCACACACAAUCUGAUGUUUGUGAUAAAAGGUCCAUUCCCUCCCAGUUGUGUCUUGUCCACCUUGUCUUCUCAAAGCAUGAUUGCAGAUGUUGCAACACAGCAAAAUUCUGUCCAUGCUUCAUUUGCUUAGAUGUCUCCAUUUAAAAUGCUGUACCAAAUAAAAAAGGGAAAUACUGAGUAAAGAAUUGAUACUGGAAUGGGAUCCUUCUUAGUCCCAGAAACCCUCCCUGCUUUUCCUAUGCCUUCACUGCCUUACUCCCUU